CAGCCGCCACGGUAAUACGGAGGGUGCAAGCGUUAAUCGGAAUUACUGGGCGUAAAGCGCACGCAGGCGGUCUGACAAGUCAGAUGUGAAAUCCCCGGGCUUAACCUGGGAACUGCAUUUGAGACUGUCAGGCUGGAGUCUUGUAGAGGGGGGUGGAAUUCCAGGUGUAGCGGUGAAAUGCGUAGAGAUCUGGAGGAAUACCGGUGGCGAAGGCGGCCCCCUGGACAAAGACUGACGCUCAGGUGCGAAAGCGUGGGGAGCAAACAGGAUUAGAUACCCCUGUAGUCCCUGUCUCUUAUAC
rnacentral:rRNA from 1 species